GGGGGUGUGGCGGAAUUGGUAGACGCAACAGACUUAAAAUCUGUCGAUUUUUUAAAUCGUAAGGGUUCAAGUCCCUUCAUCCCCA
rnacentral:tRNA from 1 species